GUCUACGGCCAUACCACCCUGAACGCGCCUGAUCUCGUCUGAUCUCCGAAGCUAAGCAGGGUCGGGCCUGGUUAGUAAUUGGAUGGGAAAACUGCUGUUGCUUCACCAGACCAGGUAACUAAACU
rnacentral:rRNA from 1 species